AGAGUUUGAUCCUGGCUCAGAACGAACGCUGGCGGCAGGCCUCAAACAUGCAAGUCUAGGGGGUGCAGCAAUGCAUCACCGGCGGACGGGUGCGUAACGCGUGGGAAUAUACCUAUUGGUUCGGAACAACUGCGGGAAACUGCAGCUAAUACCGAAUGUGCCCGAAAGGGGAAAGAUUUAUCGCCAAUGGAUUAGCCCGCGUAGGAUUAGCUAGUUGGUGGGGUAACGGCCCACCAAGGCUCCGAUCCUUAGCUGUUCUGAGAGGAAGAUCAGCCACACUGGGACUGAGACACGGCCCAGACUCCUACGGGAGGCAGCAGUUGGGAAUCUUGGACAAUGGGGGAAACCCUGAUCCAGCCAUGCCGCGUGAGUGAUGAAGGCCUUCGGGUUGUAAAACUCUUUCGACGGGGACGAUAAUGACGGUACCCGUAGAAGAAGCUCCGGCUAACUUCGUGCCAGCAGCCGCGGUAAUACGAAGGGGGCUAGCGUUGUUCGGAAUUACUGGGCGUAAAGCGCGCGCAGGCGGCUAUCCAAGUCAGUGGUGAAAGCCCGGAGCUCAACUCCGGAACUGCCAUUGAAACUGUUUAGCUUGAGGACGAGAGAGGUGAGUGGAAUUCCCAGUGUAGAGGUGAAAUUCGUAGAUAUUGGGAAGAACACCGGUGGCGAAGGCGGCUCACUGGCUCGUUUCUGACGCUCAGGCGCGAUAGCGUGGGGAUCAAACAGGAUUAGAUACCCUGGUAGUCCACGCCGUAAACGAUGAUUGCUAGCCGUUGGGCAGCUUGCUGUUCAGUGGCGCAGCUAACGCAUUAAGCAAUCCGCCUGGGGAGUACGGCCGCAAGGUUGAAACUCAAAGGAAUUGACGG
rnacentral:rRNA from 1 species